AAGGAACUUCUACUUCCAAGCCGUAGCUGGCUGCAUCCUCUUCAUGACUCUUUCCCUUCCAUGUUAUGUGUCUACAGACAAAUAUUUUUCUUCACAUGCAAUUUUGGAGUAAGGACUAUAUGCGUAGCUAUAGUUUACACCUGCUUAUACUCCUCCAAACACAUGGUCAGGAAGUAUUUGGAUUAUGAUGGUAUGAUGAUAGUUGUUAAAGAAAGUUCUUUUCCAUGUGAAAAAGAAAGAGAAGACAAGGCAAACAGCAGUCUGUUCAGCAUUAUCCUUUCAAUGAAUUCUACCCUUUUAUACAAUAAAAAGCUGUGGCUGUAUUAUAGGCCCUGGGUUAAAUAAAAGCAAACCACACUCUUUGUUCAAUA
rnacentral:lncRNA from 1 species